rnacentral:tRNA from 1 species
GCCUGACUGGCUCAGUCAGUAGAGCAUGCAACUCUUGAUUUCAGGGUUGUGAGUUCGAGCCCCAUGUUGGGCA